rnacentral:rRNA from 1 species
GACGAACGCUGGCGGCGUGCUUAACACAUGCAAGUCGAACGGAAAGGCCCUGCUUUUGUGGGGUGCUCGAGUGGCGAACGGGUGAGUAACACGUGAGUAACCUGCCCUUGACUUUGGGAUAACUUCAGGAAACUGGGGCUAAUACCGGAUAGGAGCUCCUGCUGCAUGGUGGGGGUUGGAAAGUUUCGGCGGUCGGGGAUGGACUCGCGGCUUAUCGGCUUGUUGGUCGGGGAGUGGCUUACCAAGGCAUUGACGGGUACCCGGCCUGUGAGGGUGGACGGCGACAAUGGGCCUGAGGGACGGCGCAGAGUCGAACGGGAGACAGCAGUGGGGAAUCUUGCACAAUGGUCGGAAGCCUGAGGCAGAAGCGCCGCGUGCGGGAUGACGGUCUUUGGGUUGUGAACCGCUUUCGCCUGUGACGAAGCGUGAGUGACGGUAAUGGGUAAAGAAGCACCGGCUAACUACGUG